rnacentral:lncRNA from 1 species
ACAGCAGCUGCUUAUAGGGGUUAGGCUAGUCACUUCUUAAAUGAACAAGAACAGUGGAAGACUGGUUCAGUUUCUGAAACUGAACUCUUUUCGAUUGACACAAAAUAUGUUCUAAGCACUAGAGGCUGUUCUCGACUGGAAGAGAGUCAAAUUGCGUUACCGUGAUGGUUAUUCUUUCACAGAAGACAACAUCAUUAUACAGUCUAAAAAUGCAUGUUCAGCCGAAUGAUUAACUUGUUGAAUGUUGGAAUAUGUUCUUUUUGGACAGAACCUUAUGACACCAUCGACUUAACAACAUCUCCUCAACUGGCCUAACUACGACACAUGAAAUCCAUUAAAACACAGUCGGC